CCCCCUCCCAGCCCGGCAGCCCUUUGCGCCCGCAGUGGAGCCGUGGCGGGGACCUGGAGCUCCGCGCGGGGGCGGUUCUAGCGGAGGCAGAGCCUGAGCAUUGGGCCUCUGGCUGCUUCUCUCUCUUUUGCACAAAGCCGAGGUGCAGCGGCAAAGCCAGGAGCUGCCGCUUCCCAGAGACGCACAUCGCUUCUUGUCCCCUGUCACUCCCAGAUAUAUAUUUUAAUUGGCACGCCUGCUAAAAUGAUGACACUUUGAGGCCAACAUUGGGUGUCCCACGGCUGGUUCCUUGAGCAGGGAGGACGGAACAUCUCGCAAGCCGGAGCCGGGGUUUGUGGAGCUGGAGCAGACUCAGCGAUUUCCCUCUGGCAAGUGCCCACCUGCAGGACGUGCUGCUGGCAUUCAGAGAGACACUGCAACUGGAGCUGGGGAGUGACACAGGUACGCGUCUGUUUCUGAUAGGCCCCGCGGAGAUUUCAGAGAAUCAUAGAACUGGAAGAGACUUAGAGAGGUCAUCGAGUCCAUGGCAGGACCACGCACCAUCCUAGAUCAUCCCUGACAGGUGUUUAUCUAACCUGCUCUUAAAUAUCUCCAGUGAUGGGGAUUGCAGGGGGCUGCUUUGUGAUACCGAGUGUCACGAAAGGGGAAUCCAAUUUUGCUGAUGAGCAUAUUGAAUCUCUGAAUAUCUCACAGCCCAUCUGAUGACUGAGAAACACUGCCCUGGAUUAACCAGUCGCUAUGGAUGGGAAGAGAGUGUUUCAUUGUACAUAGAACAAGUCUACACAGCAGUGUGUUGCCAGACCAGAUCGGGACCAAUCCUGGGAAAUACUAAUUCCAAAGCUAUAGAGAUGGAGCCCAGAGUCCUAAAUUGAUGCCUUGGGCUACUGGCCAUCACAGACAGUGGAAUAUGCCACAUGCUGCCAAAUGAUCGCACGCCUGAGUUACUGCUUCAGCUAAAGGGUUCUGGAUUGGGAGGAGGGGGUUUGUCUUUCCCGUGGUUUGGAAUCCCAGCUGUAAUACCAUGCAGACAGAAGCUGUGCCCAGUAACCCUUUCACUGCUGUCUUUAUAACAACCAGAUUCACUGACACUCCUCUCAUGGCCAGCAGAGAUGGGGAGGUGGCAGUGUGUGGUUCCAAAAUGGCAUUAGCCAAGUCUCUGAGCCAGGAGGGGGCAGAGAAACUAAAGAGAACUAGGAGGGGAGUGAGGAACCAGGCUCCCAGAUCUGCUCAGAUCCAGUUCCAGUUGCAGCACUGGACAGGUUGAGCCUGGUCCUUACCUGUUUGCAGUUCCCCCUCUGCUAAGGGAAGGUGCUGUGCUCAGGAGCUACAUCAGGUUUCAAGGGUCUCCAUGGGCUUAGUCCUGGUGCUGGGCUGGGUCUGACUACAGCGGUUCCCAAACUUUGCGGCAUCACGCCCCCCUUUUUUAUUUUUGAGAAACCCUCAAGCCGCCCCUCCC